AACACUGUUAACCUGCGGUACCUGCGGAAGGAUCAUUACAGUAUUCUUUUGCCAGCGCUUAACUGCGCGGCGAAAAACCUUACACACAGUGUCUUUUUGAUACAGAACUCUUGCUUUGGUUUGGCCUAGAGAUAGGUUGGGCCAGAGGUUUAACAAAACACAAUUUAAUUAUUUUUACAGUUAGUCAAAUUUUGAAUUAAUCUUCAAAACUUUUAGCAAUGGAUCUCAGAUCGGAAGAGC
rnacentral:misc_RNA from 1 species